UUGCCUAUGAAGAUUAAAUUGGAAUUACCGGCUGAUUUUAUUGAUGUCAAAUGGCUAUCUGAGGCUUAUU